CCUACUUUAAAAGAAGUCAUUUUUCAUGCUCGUCUUUUUGUCCACAGGAAGGUUGGAAUGAGACCCGCCUCUGGUCCAGAGUCAGCAGCUUCUUCUAGCCUCUCCUCGCCUGUCUGUAACUCACUCUCCAGUACCAGAAAUUGUGGCAUUUGUCUCUUCGUUACCCAUUCACUAGAGCCAGAAUCUCUGUUUUCUUGUAUUUUGUUUCCUAAACGAAGCAGUGUCUCCUAUGGGUGUAGCUUUCCACAGAUAUUGUUGAAUUGAAAUGGACUUCAAAGAGAAAGCUUUUGGAUUAUUUCUGUUAGCUAGAUACUUAGACAGGCCAUCGGGUCCAGGCCGCAUGCCCUAGGACAGCUUUGAUGUUUACCAUCAGGAGGCCUCAAAGCACGGCCUUGCUCUCAUGCACCUGUUCUCGCCCACGUCCCACCCCCAGAUCAAGGGCCUCCAGGAUGAGGCGGGGUUUCAUCCCGACCCUCCUGAGCUCAGGAAGGCUUCUGCAUGGGCCAACGAGUGGCAACCAACUGGAGUUACUGUUUACUCAUUAUGUCACUUUCUCAAACUUACUCUGCAUCAGGCAAGUGCUGAGGACAAUCAGGAAAUCCACCUGGGCUGAGUCCCACAGGAGAACGCAUGUGCACAGCACGCCUGGGUGGCUCAGGUAGUGAUCUCCCUGUCUUGGGACCAAGCCCUGCUUGGGCGCUGUGCUGGGCAUGGAGCCUGCUUGGGAUUCUCCCUCUCUCUCGCUCUCUCGCUCUCUCUCUCUGUCCCUCCCCCACUCUGUCAGAAUAAAUAACCUUUUAAGGUCUCCUAAAAAAGGAGAAUGCAUGUGCACACUGAUUGUCCCUCUGUGAGCUGGGAAUGAGGCGGCUCCAAUGAAGGAACAGUUGUCACUGUGUGGCAGGUGUCAGGGUGGCUGAUGGGAGCAGGCUCCUGCAUGGGGGUGGCUGGGCAUGUGUGUGGGGAGGGUCUCGGGGAAGGGGCUGGCUGUGGGUGAGGGAACUUGGGCUGCUGCUCCAGAUGAGGUGUGCCGAUGCCUUGCAUCUAGGCCUCCUGCCCCCGUUGGCCUGACAAAGGCAGCCCAUGUCCCCUCUGCUCUCAGUGGGCCCUUGGCAUCCGACACAGGGCCCAGCCUGCUGAGUGACAUGCGAAUGAACCAGUGCCUGGGUGCGGUUGCGCAGGAGGCAAAGCCAGCCCGGAGGCCCCUCCUCUCAGUGGAUGGGAGGACCAGCAACGUCCAGGAUGCCGAGAGGCCACGGGGAGCUCCGGGAUGGCCGAGUGGAUGCAGCAGAGGCCCCUCUGUUCAGAACCUGCCUUCCGCUGUUGAGUUCGUGUCUGUCCUACGGUCUACGUUUUGCAUGUUUUCCAUGGGUGCCUUUGGGGACACCAACGUUGUCAUGGAGAUUCAGAAAGGUCGCCUGGAGGAGGAGACAUAGCUGGACCCUGAUGCUAAGGGCAGCUGGUCUGCGUGUGGCCAGCCUUGGGACACCGGUCACUAGAAGGGCCACAUGGCUCAUGGUUUCAUGCCCACCCUCACCCAGGCCAUCUUCUCUUUUCUUCUUGAACUCAGAUGAACAUGGUUGAGAACAUCGGAAGCUGGUGUAGGGCCUGGCCACCCCUGGUCACCUUCUGAGGGCUUCCUGUCUGGGAGCAUUGCCUUAACCCAGCAGCUAAAUACACGUAGCUGCCUAUGUGAUGGCUUCUAUGACAUGCAUGCAGCGUGCACAUCCGGACACACCCACUGACCCCCUUCCUGCCCCUGGAGUACCUGGGGUCGGAACACGUGUCUCCCCAUCUCCAGAGCUCCUGAGGGAUGUCUGCUGAAAAGAGGUUUUGAUGAAGGAGGUCUUAGAAACACACGCUUUCGGGUCCAGUUAAUAUCAGUGCUUAGCCAGCCUGUCCUCACCACGCGCACCGCACGUGGCACCCGCCUCUCCCGUCGCUACACCUCAGCAGAUGCACCCUUUGCUUGCUUCUCAGUGGACACUCAACUGGCCACUGCUGGUGUCCGUUGAAGUCGGGUGAACUUUCUGUCUUCACGCAGGGCAGGAACAGAGGCCUGUGCGCUGCUCCGCCAGUUCCAGAACUGCAGUUACGGGGUCAGAGGGCACGUACACCCGAAACUCUGCUAGGUUCUAAGUGUCUUUUGGUAGAAACUCAAAGCACUUUCAGCGAAAUGCUUCGGAGGAAGCCAGAAGGCACGUGUGAGAGAGCCGGCGCGGGCCCCCUCCCUGGGGCGGGGGGACUUGGGCCCAGGAGGCGGCUCUGCCUCCCUGCGGCCCCUCUAGCGCCUGGAUGCACAGGAUUUGUUUCUUCACUUCCUUGCUGACGGCACUUGGGUUGUUUCUGCUCUUGAUUUUUAUGAACAAAGCUGCUGUGGACAUUGUCGUACAAGCCACUUCGCAGGCAUAGGCCUUCUUGGGUGAGUUCCGAAGGUGGACCGGCUGGACCACGUGCCACGAUGAGUUGAACGCAAUAUGAGCGCUGGGCAGCGGAGUCAACACAGUUACAGGAUUUCGUGAGACGGACACAUACUGACAAUCUACUACUGGCACUGAAUCACUCAGAGGCCUUAACUGGAGGCCCCAGCAGCUGGGAAGGUGCUUUCUCCUGAUGGAACUUUGAGUUGAAAAACCCUCUCUUCAGCUGUGCCCUGUCUAUUGUUCAGAAAAUUCAAUGAGCUCCUCACUUCAGGU